rnacentral:rRNA from 1 species
UACCAGCUCUCCGAGUGGUAGGGAUGAUUAUUGGGCUUAAAGCGUCCGUAGCCGGCUUAGCAAGUCUCCUGUUAAAUUCAGCGACCUAAUCGUUGAGCCGCGGGAGAUACUACUAGGCUAGGAGGCGGGAGAGGUCAACGGUACUUCCGGGGUAGGGGUGAAAUCCUAUAAUCCCGGGAGGACCACCAGUGGCGAAGGCUGUUGACUAGAACGCGCUCGACGGUGAGGGACGAAAGCUGGGGGAGCGAACCGGAUUAGAUACCCGGGUAGUCCCAGCUGUAAACGAUGCGAGCUAGGUGUUGGGGUGGCUACGUGCCACUUCAGUGCCGCAGGGAAGCCACUAAGCUCGCCGCCUGGGGAGUACGGCCGCAAGGCUGAAACUUAAAGGAAUGGCGGGGAGCACCACAAGGCGUGAAGCUUGCGGUUC